AUGUAUGUAUGUAUGUAUGUAUGUAUAAUAAGAGGUGCCAUGACAUUAUCUAAUUCAGCCAUGAGGAUAGUUUAAUAGGUGGUGUGGUGUCCCAGAAGAAAUAUGAAGGUAGGUAGAGAGAGUAAUAUAUAGUAUGCGAAUAAUAAAGGGCAUGGUACAGUUAGAGGGUAGAUUGAAAGUGGGGAUCACAAUAAUAAUAGUAAUAAUAAGGCAAUGAUGAAAGACCCAAGACUUGCAUUGAGACUUGCUUCUAUGUCUCUGUACUAUGUCACUAUGCUGUGUGCUUUUGAAUACUCAUUUUGUCUUGUUCCUUCUCAUCUCCAUGCAACGCCUCCUCCUACACAGUAACGCCUCGGUUGCUCCACCGUACCACCACCACAACCACCACCACAUAAUAAAUUUCCAAUGUGUUUCUGACUUUAUUACCUGGAAACAAACAAAUCAUGCUUGGACAGUACUAGUAUAGUGGACUUUAUUUUAUCCUUUAAUUUAUUUUGUUUUUUAUAAUUCAAGUCACACAUGCAAAAAACUAAAAACAGGUUAAUGUAGUGUUAAAUUUAUUUCUCUUCCGUUAAUAAGAUGAUAUGGAUAGAUUUAAUUAAGGUCGGUGUAGAUGAACGAAUAUGGUAAAUAAUAUUUCAACGCAAUAAGGAACGCUUUGCUUUGGUUAUGUUUGUGGUAUGUUUGUUUAUUUUAUUUUAUAAUAAUAUACAUGUCGUGAUGAUGUAAGUUAUUAGUGUAAAGUAAACACCGUUUUGCAUAACCUAAUUUUGGAACAUGAGUGGUAACUAAAAAGCACCAUUAUUAGUGUGAGUCAGUGCUUUUUUCUCUCUCUUUCAUUCAUUGACUCACACAUGUGUGUAUAUAUAAAGAAGCAAAGAGUGGGUUAGGGUUUAGAGAGGAUGAGUUGGUGGUUGAGGGGAAUGUUGGCUGGCUCGAGGCUUCAAUUUGGUUUGGGCUUCGGACCAGGCUUCAUUCCUCUCAAACUAACUAAACUCCAUCAUUAUAUUCUUCUUCUUCUUCUUCUUCAUGAGGGAGGUGGUGGCUGCUUCUGCUGCAAAGGUUAAGGUUGAGAGGAAUGUUGUCUGGCUCGAGAGGUCUUAUUAGCUUCAUGAAUUGUUUGAUUUGAUGAUGAUUAGUCAAAGUGUCUAAUAAUCUCGGACCAGGCUUCAUUCCCCCCAUCCAACCUUUGCUAUAUGCUUCUGCUUGCUUUCACUUUCUUUUUAAUGUUAAGUUCCUCUUUUGCAACCUCCAAGUUUUCCAAAUUAAUUAUAAUAUCUUUCACUCCAACGGAAAAUAAAAUGAACUGGCAAGUGAGCCAAAACAAUGCACAUCAAGGCAGAACAAGUUGAAAGGCUCUUCUGCAUCGUGAAAAGUAUAGUGAUUUGAAGGGAACCUGCUUACAUACAUUCAACUGCGAAAGAAAAAAGGCAUCAUUUUCAUCAAUCUGAAUGCAAUGUACUUCAGCGAAAAUGGCAGUGAGGAGUAUUAAUUUAAUUGAUGAUGCCCUAGUUGCUGCAGAGGCAUAUCUAUUAAGGAAAUUGAUGAGUUAUGAAUGAAAGAAAUUAAAGAAAGAGAUGAGAGAUAGAUCAGAUGUGCUGGAACGGUUAACGAGAAGAAGAAGAAGAAGAAGCAAUGGAUUCUAUCAAUGACAUAGAUGUAGCAGAAGAUGCAUCUAAGAUCACUGACUCAAGAGGUCGAUGCAUGAUGAUGCAAAACUAAACAUGGAAAGAAGAGAAAGAGACGAGACAUCAUGGUUUUCUUUCUCUUCUCUUCUCUUCUUUUCUAAGUAUAUAUGUAAGAAGGUGUAUUUUAGUGUAAUGUAAUAAUGGAGCUUUUAAAGUUGUUGAAAAUUCAGGAACCAUCUUCGGAAACAGCUUCGAUCAGCAAUAUCAACUUCUUCCUCCA